rnacentral:rRNA from 1 species
GAUGAACGCUAGCUACAGGCUUAACACAUGCAAGUCGAGGGGAAACGAUGGGAGGGCUUGCCCUCCCAGGCGUCGACCGGCGCACGGGUGAGUAACACGUAUCCAACCUGCCCUCUUCCGGGGAACAACCUUGCGAAAGUAAGACUAAUGCCCCAUGUGUCCUCAGACGGCAUCAGACGAGGACGAAAGAUUUAUCGGAAGUGGAUGGGGAUGCGCCUGAUUAGGCAGUUGGCGGGGCAACGGCCCACCAAGCCGACGAUCAGUAGGGGUUCUGAGAGGAAGGUCCCCCACAUUGGAACUGAGACACGGUCCAAACUCCUACGGGAGGCAGCAGUGAGGAAUAUUGGUCAAUGGGCGAAAGCCUGAACCAGCCAAGUAGCGUGCAGGAUGACGGCCCUAUGGGUUGUAAACUGCUUUUAUAAGGGAAUAAAGUGGGUCUCGUGAGACUUUUUGCAUGUACCUUAUGAAUAGGACCGGCUAAUUCCGUG